GGUGGCGACCGGCGGACGGGUGCGUAACACGUAUGCAACUUGCCCUAUACUGGAGAUAGCCCGAAGAAAUUCGGAUUAAUAUCCCAUAACAUCAGGAUAAGCAUUUAUCUUGGUUCAAACCUCCGGGGGUAUAGGAUGGGCAUGCGGUCGAUUAGCUUGUUGGUGAGGUAACGGCUCACCAAGGCGACGAUCGAUAGGGGGCCUGAGAGGGUGAUCCCCCACACUGGUACUGAGACACGGACCAGACUCCUACGGGAGGCAGCAGUAAGGAAUAUUGGUCAAUGGGCGCAAGCCUGAACCAGCCACGCCGCGUGAAGGAAGACGGCCCUAUGGGUUGUAAACUUCUUUUCUACGGGAAUAAACCUCAGGACGUGUCCUGAGCUGAAGGUAUCGUAGGAAUAAGGAUCGGCUAACUCCGUGCCAGCAGCCGCGGUAAUACGGAGGAUCCAAGCGUUAUCCGGAUUUAUUGGGUUUAAAGGGUGGGUAGGUGGGAUGAUAAGUCAGAGGUGAAAGCUAGCAGCUUAACUGUUAAAUUGCCUUUGAUACUGUCGUUCUUGAGUAUAGUUGGCGUUGGCGGAAUGUGACAUGUAGCGGUGAAAUGCGUAGAUAUGUCACAGAACACCGAUCGCGAAGGCAGCUAACGAAACUAUCACUGACACUGAUGCACGAAAGCGUGGGGAGCAAACAGGAUUAGAUACCCUGGUAGUCCACGCCGUAAACGAUGAUAACUCGACGUUGGCAAUAUACCGUUCAGCGUCCAAGCGAAAGCGUUAAGUUAUCCACCUGGGGAGUACGAUCGCAAGGU
rnacentral:rRNA from 1 species